GCGGGUGUAGUUUAAUGGUAAAACUCCAGCCUUCCAAGCUGGCUACGGGAGUUCGAUUCUCCUCACCCGCUCCA
rnacentral:tRNA from 10 species